CUGGGUGAUCUGCCCUGCACUUCGGGAUAAGCCUGGGAAACUGGGUCUAAUACCGGAUAUGACCUCCUGUUGCAUGACKUGGGGUGGAAAGAUUUAUCGGUGCAGGAUGGGCCCGCGGCCUAUCAGCUUGUUGGUGGGGUAAUGGCCUACCAAGGCGACGACGGGUAGCCGACCUGAGAGGGUGACCGGCCACACUGGGACUGAGACACGGCCCAGACUCCUACGGGAGGCAGCAGUGGGGAAUAUUGCACAAUGGGCGAAAGCCUGAUGCAGCGACGCCGCGUGAGGGAUGACGGCCUUCGGGUUGUAAACCUCUUUCAGCAGGGACGAAGCGCAAGUGACGGUACCUGCAGAAGAAGCACCGGCUAACUACGUGCCAGCAGCCGCGGUAAUACGUAGGGUGCAAGCGUUGUCCGGAAUUACUGGGCGUAAAGAGUUCGUAGGCGGUUUGUCGCGUCGUUUGUGAAAACCAGCAGCUCAACUGCUGGCUUGCAGGCGAUACGGGCAGACUUGAGUACUGCAGGGGAGACUGGAAUUCCUGGUGUAGCGGUGAAAUGCGCAGAUAUCAGGAGGAACACCGGUGGCGAAGGCGGGUCUCUGGGCAGUAACUGACGCUGAGGAACGAAAGCGUGGGUAGCGAACAGGAUUAGAUACCCUGGUAGUCCACGCCGUAAACGGUGGGCGCUAGGUGUGGGUUCCUUCCACGGAAUCCGUGCCGUAGCUAACGCAUUAAGCGCCCCGCCUGGGGAGUACGGCCGCAAGGCUAAA
rnacentral:rRNA from 1 species